UUUUAUUAUGAUCCAUACAUGAUUUGUAAUUUUGUUUGCUUCUAGGCUUCAUUUUCAUUAACUGCACUUCCAAUGGGACACAAAUAGCUAAAUGGGUGUAUAAAGAAAAUAACACUCUGUGUGUUGAACCAACAACAGUCCCUCCAACAACUAAAUAUACUAUUGUGGGUCCUUCCUCCUGGCUCACUUUGGGAUUGCGUACUAUUGCUGUGGUUCUUCCUUUAAUUGGCCUUUGUCUCUACUUCACUUGGAAGCAAAAGAAAUAUGAAAAAGCCAAACUCUCUGCCAUCCCACCCACAGUGGAGAAUCCAGAGGACUCUAUUCUGAUGGUUCAACUGAACUCUGCAUCUUAGAUGGAUGACAUUAUGACUUUAAUUUGUAAAAAUUCAACAUAAGCUCACAAACAUAAACAUGUAAGUAGUUCUGGGAUUGGCUGCCAUGUUUCAUGAGCAUUUUAUCGUGCAACAUUCCAAAGUGUCUUAUUUCAAUUAUGUUAAAGUGAAGGUUUUAGUUUAAUUUCUUUCUUGUGUUAUAUAUUGUCAACAUUCUGUCUCAUGUUUUUUAUGUAUUUUCCAAUUUAUUGUGCUUUCAAUGGAUUAGCAUUCAUCUAUUACUGAGUUGUACCAUGAGCUUCUUAUGACAUACAAUGGUGUGAAUAAGUGUUUGCCCCCUCCACGAUUUCCUGUUUUUUGUAUGUAUCUCACACUAAACUUAUACUAACUUACUUCUAAGGACGUCUUACAUGUGUUGGAACCACUGAAGUAAACAGUCGUAGUCAUACAAAACCAGCAGAGGAAAAUAUAAACUUCACAGAAAAGGCUCCAGCUAAAAUGUAAUAAAGGAACCUUGCAGCCUCAGAGAAAAUGGUUAACCACACCAACACACAGGACAGCAGUUGAAACAUAAUUUUCUGCAUUUGAAAGGAUCUUGCAGGUUUUUUGAAGCAAUUUAUAAAGUGCAAACACUGGGCUCUGUGUAAUAGGCUUUGUACAGCUCUAGAUAUUUGACAAAGAUACGUUAUUAACAUCUGAAAGCAGCUGAGUGAAUGAACAGAAGCUGAACGUGAAGCAAACAUGGAAGUUGUUUUUGUUUUUCUUGAUGCAACUUGGACUGUUUUAAAUGUGUGUACAAUAAAUAAACUACAUGUUACAGGAA